AGAACUGCAGAUAGUACAGCUUCCACAGGAGCAAGGGAUGUCUGAGCACAAGUGGCUGAGUUCCGAGUGACUUUAUGAAGCACUUUCUACCUUCCUCUCCGGCAUGAAAACAGGGAUUCUGCACCUGCAUCAUGGACAGUCUGGCAAAAGCCUCUGCUCUGCCUCGGGGGACAAGAAACUACAGCAAAUAACCGUUUUGAAAUUAGAUCCUGGCAACAUUACCAACAAUCAAUGAUGGAAACUGAAGGCAGAUUGAUUUAAAUCUUCAAUGGCAGUUGUACAGAAGUUGAAGAAACAUGUCAUGUUUCCAAAGAAAAUAUUUAUUACUCACAGUUCUGUAGUUUUAACCAGAACAAAGGGAUUAUCCAGAAGAAAAGAAGUGAACAAAACAAGACCCUACUAUGAUGAUUCUACACGGACCUGAUUUUAACCGAAGAGUAGCCUUCACAAUUCCAUAAAUGUUGGCUUUAUCCAUGUAUUAAAGCACGGAUUUCUUGGGAGACGACAAAUAUUGAGAGUGAACGAUAAAAUCUGAAAAGAACCUGGGAAAUCAUCAUUAAAUUGAGCUGAUAAUCAUGAUAAUCGUGUCUCAAAUAUGGACUGUCAACUUUUUUUUAACUAAUGAUGGGAUGGUAGAGAAGCUAUUAACUUAAUACGCCUCAGUGUGUGUGUGUGCUUGCGCGCGCAUGUGUUUGUUUUGGUGGAAAUAAAUUAAUAAGAAAGGGAAAAAUAACAGUCACAUGGAAGCUUAGGAGGCAAGUUAAUAAAAGAGAAAUAUUCGGGUAGUAUGAAAUCUUAAGCUUUACACAAU